rnacentral:lncRNA from 1 species
AUUUGGGUCUUAUUCCUUCCCUGAAACCAGCACGGAGGGCUAUUGGAUGGAGCACACAUUAUCACUGCAUCGGGAUUAUGCUUACUACUCUGGGCCCUGCAGUAAUAUAGCUUGACUACAACAUUAACUCCACUCGCUCUCAUUCAUACCCACACCAUCAUGACCAGAUCAUUUUUGAAGUAACAUUUUGGAUGUGAAGCUGGAAAUCACUUCGUGACAGCCACCGUGGUAGGGACUGAGAUGGAGAACUUACUAAUCUAAACGCACGAGUCUGCUACAUGGCCAUCAGUCCAUAAAGAAAAUAUUCGGGCACUGAUAUGACUCGGAAGCCUUUUGCUUGCCAUUUGCUUGAAGACAUUCCCAUUUCAUAAUGAAUAGUGAUUAAAGACACUCAAAAACAGACUCAACGCCAUGCGUUGAGGAAUGGACCACCCCAUACAAUGGAACAGCUUUGUCCAAGAGAGCCAGGUAUAAAUCAGAAGAUGGUGAAAGACAUACGGAGGGGAUUUUAUUCAUGUGAUAUUCCUUCAUAUAACAAUGUGUCCUCCCCCGCAAUGGAAAUAUUCACCGAUGAAUGAUCAGAAAAAUCUUAUCUUCCCAUUUGUGAAGUGUGGCAAGAGCCAUAGAAGCAUAGAUGAGAGAAAAGAGUCAUUACAAUGGUGCAACCAACACUACAAUGUAUUUUAUGGACAGGAAGAGAAUAACACCUUAGUCAACAAAAUCGUAAACAGGAAUAUAAGUAAUCACAAUAAAAUACUAUAUCACCAUAUGGGAGCAAGACACCAGCAAGUGGAUCCUUUCCUCGCAAAAUAUACCACAAGAUCUUUAACGACUGUAAAUGAAUACAUCUUGACUAUAACAACUCAUCCCAAAUGCAGCACUAUUAGCAGCUAGUGUCAGCUUCCACCAAGUGAAGAGGCUGGUUCAGAAGUUUCAGGGAGAGAAGUCAUGUAGGUUUGAAUCUGGAGUUGAGAAUCAGGAGGUCCAGCUUUCUUAUUUUGCCUUUGCCACUGACUGCCUCUUUCUCUAACCAGAUGCACUUGCUGCUUCAGCCUCCUCAGCAGUGAGGCAUUGACGGUGCCCUUGGCCUUCUUGUUCUCUUCCUGUGACAGACUGUAGGACUUUUUUUUUUUAAACUGGGUGCUUUGAGGACAGAGGGGGAUGUCCUUGUGGAUGUUUUAGGACAAACGGUGGCUGAAGAACUCAAGACUCAAAAGCUUGUAGAGGACCCUUCUCAUCCUCUGUUCCUAGGUAAUAAAACAGAAGCGUUG